GAAAUGCGAUAAGUAAUGUGAAUUGCAGAAUUCAGUGAAUCAUCGAAUCUUUGAACGCACAUUGCGCUCGCCAGUAUUCUGGCGAGCAUGCCUGUUCGAGCGUCAUUUCAACCAUCAAGCUCUGCUUGCGUUGGGGGUCCGCGGCUGCCCGCGGUCCCUCAAAAACAGUGGCGGGCUCGCUAGUCACACCGAGCGUAGUAACUCUACAUCGCUAUGGUCGUGCGGCGGGUUCUUGCCGUAAAACCCCCAAUUUCUAAGGUUGACCUCGGAUCAGGUAGGAAUACCCGCUGAACUUAAGC
rnacentral:misc_RNA from 1 species